UACGAAGGGGGCUAGCGUUGUUCGGAAUCACUGGGCGUAAAGCGCACGUAGGCGGAUCUUUAAGUCAGGGGUGAAAUCCCGGGGCUCAACCUCGGAACUGCCUUUGAUACUGGGGAUCUCGAGUCCGGGAGAGGUGAGUGGAAUUGCGAGUGUAGAGGUGAAAUUCGUAGAUAUUCGCAAGAACACCAGUGGCGAAGGCGGCUCACUGGCCCGAUACUGACGCUGAGGCACGAAAGCGUGGGGAGCAAACAGG
rnacentral:rRNA from 1 species